AAAAAUGUUAGUUCUUUUCCACCACUGUUUACUCAUUCGUUUUACAACUGCUCAACUUUGUUCUGGUCCAGCAGGACUCUCUUGUACAAGCCCCAACAGCUCCAUGCCCAUCCCUGCCCAGGGUCCAGCCUUGUCUUAGUAAACAUUCAUCUCCCUGACUCAGGCUGCUGCUUAGAAAUUCUGUUUCGGUUGCAGUUCCAUUGUGUGGAGCCAGUACUACAACUUUUCCUCCUGCAUUCAUUUCUCUUCCUGCUGCCUUGUGAAGAAGGUGCCUUGCUUCCCCUUCACCUUCUACGGUGAUUGCAAGUUGCCUGAGGAUUCCCCAGCCAUGUGAAACUGUGAGGACACAAUAGGAUGACCAUCAGCAAACCAGGAAUAAUGCCCUCAACAGACAUCUGAUCUGCUGACACCUUGAUCUUGGACUUCUAAUUCUGCAGAACUGUGAGAAAUAAAUAACUGUUUUUAAAAACCAUC
rnacentral:lncRNA from 1 species